rnacentral:rRNA from 1 species
GAUGAACGCUGGCGGCGUGCCUAAUACAUGCAAGUAGAACGCUGAAGCUUGGUGCUUGCACCGAGCGGAUGAGUUGCGAACGGGUGAGUAACGCGUAGGUAACCUGCCUCUUAGCGGGGGAUAACUAUUGGAAACGAUAGCUAAUACCGCAUAAAAGUCGAUAUCGCAUGAUAUUGAUUUGAAAGGUGCAAUUGCAUCACUAAGAGAUGGACCUGCGUUGUAUUAGCUAGUUGGUGAGGUAACGGCUCACCAAGGCGACGAUACAUAGCCGACCUGAGAGGGUGAUCGGCCACACUGGGACUGAGACACGGCCCAGACUCCUACGGGAGGCAGCAGUAGGGAAUCUUCGGCAAUGGGGGCAACCCUGACCGAGCAACGCCGCGUGAGUGAAGAAGGUUUUCGGAUCGUAAAGCUCUGUUGUAAGAGAAGAACGAGUGUGAGAGUGGAAAGUUCACACUGUGACGGUAACUACCAGAAAGGAC